UCUCCGUAGGUGAACCUGCGGAGGGAUCAUUCAGAGUUCAUGCCCUACCGGGUAGAUCUCCCACCCUAUGUUAUUAUUACUUUGUUGCUUUGGCGGGCCGUUAGGCUCCGGCCCGACUACCGGCCCCGGCUGGUAAGCGCCCGCCAGAGGACCCAAAACCCUGAAUAUUAGUGUCGUCUGAGUACUAUAUAAUAGUUAAAACUUUCAACAACGGAUCUCUUGGUUCUG
rnacentral:misc_RNA from 1 species